rnacentral:rRNA from 1 species
GGGAGCUGUCGAAGGUGGGACUGGCGAUUGGGACGAAGUCGUAACAAGGUAGCCGUACCGGAAGGUGCGGCUGGAUCACCUCCUUUCUAAGGAGCA